rnacentral:rRNA from 1 species
AUGCACAUCUCUCAUAUUGGUCAAGCAUCACUUCUCACUAGACAUGCCAAUAGGAGUCUUCAACUUCGCAAUGUUCUUCGAGUUCCAUCUGUGACACGUAAUCUUCUUUCAGUUCCUAAACUCACUCGUGAUAAUAAUGUGCUUUGUGAAUUUCAUCCUUUUGAUCUUUUUAUUAAGGAUCGGGGCACGAGGGACAUUCUUCUUAGUGGGCGGCUCUGCCAAGGUCUCUAUCGUCUGGAGCAUCCUGGCGUCGCUCGCGUCUUCAGUGGAGUUCAGGUAUCUCCGUCACAAUGGCAUGCUCGUCUUGGUCACCCGGCCACACCUAUUGUCCGGCAUGUUUUGCGUCGUCAUGAGCUUCCUAGUGUGUCUAGUAAUAAAGAUGUAGCAGUGUGUGAUGCUUGUCAGUAG